UACGUAGGCAGCAAGCGUUGUUCGGAGUUACUGGGCGUAAAGAGUGUGUAGGCGGUUCUCUAAGUUCGGUGUGAAAUCUCCCGGCUCAACUGGGAGGGUGCGCCGGAAACUGGAGGGCUUGAGUAUGGGAGAGGAAAGCGGAAUUCCUGGUGUAGCGGUGAAAUGCGUAGAUAUCAGGAGGAACACCUGCGGUGUAGACGGCUUUCUGGACCAUCACUGACGCUGAGACACGAAAGCGUGGGGAG
rnacentral:rRNA from 1 species